GACGAAGGGGGGCUAGCGUUGUUCGGAGUUACUGGGCGUAAAGGGUGUGUAGGCGGUUGUUUAAGUUUGGUGUGAAAAUCUCCCCGGCUCAACUGGGAGGGUGCGCCGAAUACUGAAUGACUAGAGUGUGGGAGAGGUGAGUGGAAUUCCUGGUGUAGCGGUGAAAUGCGUAGAUAUCGGAAGGAACAUCAGUGGCGAAAGCGACUUCCUGGACCAGUACCACGUUCAGGCACGAAAGCGUGGGGAGCAAACAGG
rnacentral:rRNA from 1 species